rnacentral:misc_RNA from 1 species
GUUGUUAUAAUGAAGCUGCCUGUGAGGAGCGACAAGGUUGAGGAGUGCGGUUGGGAUUAGCGGUGAGAAUGAGGAGCAGCGGCGAGCUUGAGGCCGUAGAUUCUGCUGUAGAAGCGAGCUGAGAGAGAGGUUGAUGGAGAUAAUAAGCCGGCGAUGACAGAGGGGUUGUGGUUGGGCGGCGUAAGAUGAGAGGUUGUUGCUGUGCCGACUAGACGGAAGGCUUUGUGGGUUCUGUGAAACGUAAAU